UGCAACUGCUACCAGAAAGAAGUUGAUACAAAGUAAGUAUAUUUUAAUAUGUUGCUAGUUGUCAUUUAACUACUCUUAUAUUUUAAUUGUUUCAAGUUUGACCAGCCACUUCAAUCCACGCUCAAUAAUUGAUGUUUGUUGGAUACGAAUGUUACUUUUGAUCGUAAUCAUUCUACAUAAAACAAUAAUUUCCAAUUUGGAUUAAUAUUAGCUGGAUUUGUAUUCAUUGUUUGUACACAUCCCCCAGAAAUUAAUUUAACUCCAUGUUAUUGUCCGUCACUAUAUAUCGAGUAUUAAAUAGUAGUAGUAGUAGUAUAAUUGGUUUGUUUGGAGUGGGAGACCUGAAAAGCAUCUUUCUAGACAAUCAUUUGAUUUUAUAGGAGAAAGUCAAAUCAAAGGUUGCAUAAGUUUGAUGCAGAGUUUGUUAUGAAUGGGCCUGAACCAGUAUUUGUAAAUGGGCCAGUGUAUUGGGAUCCAGGGUGAUAAAUAGUGCCUUGUGGGAGCAAUUGGGAUUAUGCGAACUUCUUAUCUCUUUUCUUCGAGUCUGAGCUUGUCAUCCCCAUUCUUUGUUUACUGUUUCAUUUCUUAGUUUUCCGAUUGUAAUUUCCUAUUUCAGUUUGUUAAAUACAAUCAUCUUCCCUCUUGUUGAGUAUUUGUGUAGUGUUUACUACAGAGUUAAGUAUAUUUUAGUUUAGUUUCUUCUUUUUUGAUUAAGUAAAACAAUAACAACAAAUGGCGAUUGACAUUAGCAACUACAGUAUUAUUCAUUGUUCGUACAUAUUCCCCAGAAAAUUUAAAAUUAAUUUGGACGGCCAAGGAACUCCCCAUGUUAUGGCCCCGUCGAGUAUUAAAUAGGAGUAGUAAAAUUGAUGUUUAGUUGGUAUAAGUCUCCUGUUAAGCUGCAAGUUUAUUUUCUAAAUGAAAGGUUUUCGGCCUCAUUGCUCUGUUUUAUGGAUGAUAGAUAGUACUGCUUUGCUGUGCAUGUAAUUUCCUCUUUUAUUUUCCCAUGUCUAAUCUUUGUGAAUUUUUCCUGGCCUCUAUCAUUCAGGCAAAACUGAUCCAUAUGUUAUUCUAAAACUUGGAGAUAAGGUAAUACGGAGCAAAAGAAACAGUCAAACUACUGUUAUUGGACCUCCUGGAGAGCCUAUAUGGAAUCAGGAUUUUCACAUGUUUGUCACAAACCCCACGAGACAAUAGCUAUAUAUAGAAGCUAAGGAUUCCCUUGGAUUUACAGACUUGAGUAUCGGCUCAAGAGAGGUCGAUCUUGGAUCUCUCGAAGAUACUGUACCAACAGACGUAAUUGUGGUCCACGAAGGCUGGGGACUACUGGGACCAAGGCCUGUAGGAGAGAUUAUAAUGCGACUGACAUAUAAAGCUUAUGUCGAAGAUGAGGAGGAUGAAAAGAUUGAAGCAAGAUCCAUGGAUUUGGAUGCUUCAGAUGAUGAAUUGUCCGACUUCGAUGAACGAGAUACUGCUGUCUAUGAGCAGCUUGGGAAGAGUAUGUCAAGUGGAACAGAUAAAGAAUCAUUUAUGGAUUUAUUAGCAGCAUUAAUUGUCAGCGAGGAAUUCCAAGGGAUUGUGGCAUCUGAAACAGGCAAUGGUAAAUUUGUAGAUGAGUUUAAAACUGGAGUGUCAACAUCAAGACAACAUACUCCUGCUAGAUCUGUAGAGCAAAAGUCUGAUACUUUUCCUGAAAAUUUUGGAGAAUCAGCCCUGUUUUGGCUAGCGAUUAUUACAAGUAUAUCAGUUCUAAUUGCUCUCAAUGUCAGUGGUUCUAGCAUUUUCAAUCCAUGAAUAACGAAACAAAAUAAACUGAUAGCCCCUGUAACGAAUACAAUAUAGAGCUUCUGCGGGAAUGAUUCUGCCUAACCACACAGUUGUCACCACUCUGGGAUUGCCCGAACAGAAACCUUAUAUUCAAGAUUUUGAUCCUAGAUUUUAUUCGAACUUUAGUGAGAAGAAUCUUGAGACUCACUGAGUACGGUGGAUUGUACUAACGUUCUCUUUUGGGAACCUAUGUUGGUCUGCGGUACAACGUAGGUGCCAGUUUUGCAGACAAACAGGCUUCAGGCUAGAGAUCAUCGCUCUCAGUGCUUUUGGUAGCUCCACUUCUUGCUUUCGGUGGGGACUCGUAUAUGUUUAUUCAUUUAUUCCUUUAUUUAGCAUGUGUUUUGGGAUUAGCCAGAAACCCUAUGUCCUGUGCAUUUCCUUUAGUACUUCAGUAGAGGCUUUAUAGACGUGUUUUAGUGGAUAACAGUACUUGGCGUAAUUUUCAGUACGUUUCAGUAUUUAUGGAUUUCGAGAUUCAUUUUGAUUA